GGCCAAACACUGGCAGAACCUCUGCAGGUGUUGGCGAUGAUUCCCGGCUUCUGUCCCGAGGUGCACACGGGCUGAAUCCUGAGUCAGCCAACGUCUGGGUUUCACGCCUGGGAAGCCCCGUGUCUGUGUCAUGCUUUUCAAAAUUUGAGGAUUGGAAUAAAUCUCAGUCACAGUGUCACAGCCCCUGGUGCUGAGCUGUGCUUUCAUCAUUGACCACACAAGUCAAUUUCCACAGCAGACUGGUUGACUGGAGACGAGGCUACCAAAGCCAAUGUCUGUUUCAGGCCGUGAAACCAAGGGAUGGCCUGUGAGGGAGUCUGUCCAAGGCUUUGGCAUGGUCACCUUUAAUGUCGUUAGCCUAUUCAAAAAGGCAGCAAACCAAGAAGCAGUUUCUUCAGGCUGCCCUGAUGCUCUUCCUGUGAUGCGAAGAAAAGCCUUUUGGACAAGGAGCCCGAGGGAUCUUUCUUCUCCCAGCUCUGAGAACUGAGUCCUAGAGAGAGCCCCAUCCCACCCUCCUGCCACAGGACACAUGUCCCGAUCAGCAUGGACAUUAAUGGAUUAAUCAGCAGGGACAGCAUCAAUCGUGGCAGGCUUCAGGGCCUGGCUCUGCCCGGUGCCAACCACUAGUGUGGUGGCAUAGAGCCUGUCCCACGGGGUUGUUGGCACUGGAAAGGAGUGGACACUGGAAAAUAGUAAUUCCCGGGCCAGCGGCUGCAGGAGGAAUGAGGUCUUGGUGUCGGUAGGAUCCUCCUUGACAAACCCAGGGACGCACGGCUGGGAACAGGCCUAGAGAUAGGCUCAGAAACCGCCAUGAAGGCCUGUCCCACACACCAGACCUGCUCAGGUUCGUCCAAAGGCCCCAAAGUCACAAGAAGACUGGCUCACGAGCAUGCUGAGGUCAUGUAGCCCAUGAAGGACAAGGCCCACCCCUCAGCGGGUUGGGUCAGGAAGGGCUGUGAAGAGAGCAGGCCGGGUGCUUCACUUGGGGUGAAGAUUUGGGGGUUUAAGAUUUUGUUUUAAACACAUGUGUAGACUUGAGCUUCUUUGGUGCUUGGUCCUGUCUGACUCUUUGCAACCCCGUGGACUGUAGCCCACCAACACUCUCUGUCCAUGGGAUUGUCCAGGCAAGAAUAUUGGAGUGGGUUGCCAUUUCCUCCUCCAGGGGAUCUUCCUGACCCAGGGAUUGAACCCACAUCUCCUGUGUCUCCUGCAUAGCAGGUGGGUUCCUUCCCCACUGAACCAUCAGGGAAGCCGAGUUUAUUUAAAAUUAUUUUAAAAACGUGCAUGGCUCUUGAUAUGGAUUUUCCAGCUGGGGGACAGAGUCUUUGACCGGGGUCCUUGGAUCUGGCAGGGUUGGGGGUUGAUCCCUUCUCAUGCUCUGGGUGAAGUUGCCUUGCGAGGUUCUGAUGGAGGCAGCCAUCCAGCUGGGCUAUUCUCGGGCUUGGGUAGAUGGGGGCAAAGCCCCUCCACUACUCGGGUCUUGGUUU
rnacentral:lncRNA from 1 species